rnacentral:rRNA from 1 species
GAGAAACUUUGCAAUGUGCGAAAGCACGACAAGGUUAAUCCGAGUGGUUUCUGCUAAAGGAACCUUUUGACAGUCCUAGAAACACUGUUGAAUAAGGGGUGGGCAAGUUCUGGUGUCAGCCGCCGCGGUAAAACAGCACCUCAAGUGGUCGAGGAUGAUUAUUGGGCCGUAAAGACAUCCGUAGCCGGCUCUGUAAGUUUUCGGUUAAAUCUGUACGCUCAACGUACAGGCUGCCGGGAAU